AGUGGGGUGAGCUUAGCAGAAGCCUCCAGGGAAUGACUCCCUGGAGCCAGAGUGCCCCAGACAGCCCAGCUCGGGGCUUCAGGGGCCCUGGCCGCCUCCCAGGCACUUAUUUUAUGUUCAGAAAGAGCAAAGCUGACAGGUAAUAAAUGGACGAGGAGGACUGGAGUGGGCUCUGACUGUCUGCCCGGCGCCUGCCCGGCCAGCCCGCCAUACCCACCACCACCCUCUCAGGGGGAUGAGAGCACCAUUAAUUACCCAGGAAGAAAGGGCGCCAUGAGGACGCACCCAAUGUUGCUUGGGGACAUCAUCUAUGGCCGCAUUUUCUGAGAGAAGCACCAAGCCUGAAGCUUGGCUGUCACCCCCACCACCCUCUGCCAUCAGCCGGCCAGGCUUUCCUUCUCCCCAGGUCGGUGCCAACAGUUCUCCAAACAGGAGCUCAAGCCACCGUCCCACUUGCCCUGUGAAGAAGGAACUGUUAUCAUUACAUUUUACAGACCAGGUAACUGAGGC
rnacentral:lncRNA from 1 species